AGGGUUCGAGUUCUGGCUCAGGAUGAACGCUAGCUACAGGCUUAACACAUGCAAGUCGAGGGGCAGCAUGAUCUUAGCUUGCUAAGAUUGAUGGCGACCGGCGCACGGGUGAGUAACGCGUAUCCAACCUUCCCUGUACUAGGGGAUAGCCCGGCGAAAGUCGGAUUAAUACCCUAUGUUUUCCGAAGCGGGCAUUCAAUUUGGAACAAAGGUUUACCGGUAUAGGAUGGGGGAUGCGUCUGAUUAGGUAGUAGGCGGGGUAACGGCCCACCUAGCCGACGAUCAGUAGGGGUUCUGAGAGGAAGGUCCCCCACAUUGGAACUGAGACACGGUCCAAACUCCUACGGGAGGCAGCAGUGAGGAAUAUUGGUCAAUGGACGAGAGUCUGAACCAGCCAAGUAGCGUGCAGGAUGACGGCCCUAUGGGUUGUAAACUGCUUUUAUAUAGGGAUAAAGUGAGGGACGUGUCCCUUAUUGUAGGUACUAUAUGAAUAAGGACCGGCUAAUUCCGUGCCAGCAGCCGC
rnacentral:rRNA from 1 species